rnacentral:lncRNA from 1 species
AGGUCCAGUUAGACCAGAUUUAGAGAACAAUCUUGGUGACUAGACUUCAUGAAUACAUCAUCUAACGAAGGUUUGUGCACCACUGACUAUGAAAUCUGAGAGUUGUGGUUUGGUCAAUAAAUAUCACCAGUCAAGGAAAUCUAGUGUAUGUAGCUGGUCAUAAGAGUUCCUCAAACCUGCAGAGUCUAGGGUAAUUGUUAAUAUAUCAACUCAGGAAAGUGAAGGUGGAAGACUCAUCUAUCACUUUUUGAAAUAUAAAGUAAAUUAAAUCGAGGCGAGCCAAAUUCUCUGAGCCAUUUUUCCUAAACAAAUGAGAAAAUAGCACUGUACUUAGGACUUUUUAGCCUAUUUCC